rnacentral:rRNA from 1 species
AGAGUUGAUCCUGGCUCAGGACGAACGCUGGCGGCGUGCCUAACACAUGCAAGUCGAGCGAGGAGAUCCUCGGGAUGAUCCUAGCGGCGGACGGGUGAGUAACACGUGGGCAACCUGCCUCAUAGAGAGGAAUAGCCUUCCGAAAGGGAGAUUAAUACCUCAUAACAUUGCAGUUUCGCAUGGAACAGCAAUUAAAGGAGUAAUCCGCUAUGAGAUGGGCCCGCGGCGCAUUAGCUAGUUGGUGAGGUAACGGCUCACCAAGGCGACGAUGCGUAGCCGACCUGAGAGGGUGAUCGGCCACAUUGGGACUGAGACACGGCCCAGACUCCUACGGGAGGCAGCAGUGGGGAAUAUUGCACAAUGGGGGAAACCCUGAUGCAGCCAACGCCGCGUGAGUGAUGACGGCCUUCGGGUUGUAAAGCUCUGUCUUCAGGGACGAUAAUGACGGUACCUGAGGAGGAAGCCACGGCUAACUACGUGCCAGCAGCAGC